UUGAACGCUGGCGGCAUGCCUUACACAUGCAAGUCGAACGGCAGCACGGGAGCAAUCCUGGUGGCGAGUGGCGAACGGGUGAGUAAUAUAUCGGAACGUGCCCAGUCGUGGGGGGAUAACGUAGCGAAAGCUACGCUAAUACCGCAUACUAUCUAUGGAUGAAAGCGGGGGAUCGCAAGACCUCGCGCGAUUGGAGCGGCCGAUAUCAGAUUAGGUAGUUGGUGAGGUAAAGGCUCACCAAGCCGACGAUCUGUAGCUGGUCUGAGAGGACGACCAGCCACACUGGGACUGAGACACGGCCCAGACUCCUACGGGAGGCAGCAGUGGGGAAUUUUGGACAAUGGGCGCAAGCCUGAUCCAGCAAUGCCGCGUGCAGGAUGAAGGCCUUCGGGUUGUAAACUGCUUUGUACGGAACGAAACGGUGAGCUCUAAUACAGUUUGCUAAUGACGGUACCGUAAGAAUAAGCACCGGCUAACUACGUG
rnacentral:rRNA from 1 species